rnacentral:lncRNA from 10 species
GAAAACUCAGCAAGGCCUGUCUGUUCAGAUUCUUUUUGGCCUCUCUGUGUGGCAAUCCUUCCUCCCAGCUAUAGAGCAGAGACCUUCUGGAAUGAAGAUCUUAUGAUCUACUUUCAGACAUGGCAGCUCAGAGAAUUUCUUUACAGCCAGCUCUUGCCCAGAAAGAUGCUGUUGUUAGAGACCAAAUACACCACCCCUAAAUAUGCUGGAAAAGUUACCCUUUCAAAGAGGAUUUACAUCUGUAAAGGAAAUCUCCAUUCCUGCACCAGGAAGAGAAGGAUGACUAAAUCCUUCGAGAUGUAUCUAUGGAGAAGAAAAUGAUAUUUCAGCCCAAAGUUUCAACUCCCUCUUGGAUCUACCCUAGAGAUUUGCUCAGCUCACUGUGUAACUCCCAUGGAUAUACAAGCCCAGCUUCCUCCAAGAGAGGUCCUUCCUUAGGACUCUCAGUGCCAUCUCUUCCUGAUCUUGUCCUUCUCUUGAGAAAGUCUACCCUACUCCAGAGGCUGACCUAAGACUGGAAGCCCCCCUCUUCCCUGGACACCUGUAGGAUGCAUUCCAUGGUUCAGCUGGCUAGUCUCUGAGGGACACUUAGAGGAUUUGACAGGUCCAGCUACAUCAGAUCAUUGGAAUUGGCAUGAAAAAGAGCUUCUGGGCCUUACAUAGGUUUUUCCAAAGAGUGGGGAAACCCCAAGGAAUUCUGUAACCUUAAAAUAAACUGAGAUUCAUUAGUGCAGAAACACAGAAAGCUGUCUUCUGAGUCUCGGAAACUAAGAUUUUAGAUGAAGUUAAUUUUCUUAUAAAAGAAUACAAUAUUAUUGUAAAUAAUUUAGAGAUUGCAUAUAAGACAAAGAAGAAAAUAAAAUGAGCUAUAUCCGUUCCUCCAGCCAUCAACACCUUCCACAUUUGUGGCACAUCCUUUCAGGAUGUAUGUGUGUGUGUGGGAGGGGGGUGCUUACCUGUGUGUAGUAACUUCAUGUUAUACAUAUGCCUUUUUCCCUCAAGGGUGACCACUGUUGUUGCCCAGGCUGGAGUGCAAUGGCGCGAUCUUGGCUCACCACAACCUCUGCCUCCUGGAUUCAAGCGAUUCUGCUGCCUCAGCCUCCCAAGUAGCUGGGAUUACAGGUGCCCACUACCACACCUGGCUAAUUUUUUUGUAUUUUUAAUAGAAACAGGGUUUCACCAUGUUGGUCAGGCUGGUCUCGAACUCCUGAACUCAUGUGAUCUGCCCCCCCCUCACCCGCCCCUUGGCCUCCCAAAGUGCUAGGAUUACAGGCGUGGGCCAUGACCUGCUUUUUAUUAUCAAUCUAUAAUUAUAUGUAUUGUUCCUAUAUCAUUAAAUAUUCUCCUUUGAC